UAGGGAAUCUUCGGCAAUGGACGAAAGUCUGACCGAGCAACGCCGCGUGAGUGAGGAAGGCCUUCGGGUCGUAAAGCUCUGUUGUUAGGGAAGAACAAGUACCGUUCGAAUAGGGCGGUACCUUGACGGUACCUAACCAGAAAGCCACGGCCAACUACGUGCCAGCAGCCGCGGUAAUACGUAGGUGGCAAGCGUUGUCCGGAAUUAUUGGGCGUAAAGCGCGCGCAGGCGGUCUCUUAAGUCUGAUGUGAAAGCCCACGGCUCAACCGUGGAGGGUCAUUGGAAACUGGGGGACUUGAGUACUGGAGAGGAGAGUGGAAUUCCAUGUGUAGCGGUGAAAUGCGUAGAUAUAUGGAGGAACACCAGUGGCGAAGGCGGCGUCUCUGGCCAGUAACUGACGCUGAGGCGCGAAAGCGUGGGGAGCAAACAGGAUUAGAUACCCUGGUAGUCCACGCCGUAAACGAUGAGUGCUAGGU
rnacentral:rRNA from 1 species